UACGAAGGGGGCUAGCGUUGUUCGGAAUCACUGGGCGUAAAGGGCGCGUAGGCGGCUUUAUAAGUCGGGGGUGAAAGCCUGUGGCUCAACCACAGAAUUGCCUUCGAUACUGUAGAGCUUGAGACCGGAAGAGGUAAGUGGAACUGCGAGUGUAGAGGUGAAAUUCGUAGAUAUUCGCAAGAACACCAGUGGCGAAGGCGGCUUACUGGUCCGGUUCUGGACGCUGAGGCACGAAAGCGUGGGGGAGCAAACAGG
rnacentral:rRNA from 1 species